rnacentral:rRNA from 1 species
GAUGAACGCUGGCGGCGUGCUUAACACAUGCGAGUCGAACGGGAAUUAUUUUAUUGAAACUUCGGUCGAUUUAAUUUAAUUCUAGUGGCGGACGGGUGAGUAACGCGUGGGUAACCUGCCUUAUACAGGGGGAUAACAGUCAGAAAUGGCUGCUAAUACCGCAUAAGCGCACAGAGCUGCAUGGCUCAGUGUGAAAAACUCCGGUGGUAUAAGAUGGACCCGCGUUGGAUUAGCUUGUUGGCAGGGUAACGGCCUACCAAGGCGACGAUCCAUAGCCGGCCUGAGAGGGUGAACGGCCACAUUGGGACUGAGACACGGCCCAGACUCCUACGGGAGGCAGCAGUGGGGAAUAUUGCACAAUGGGGGAAACCCUGAUGCAGCGACGCCGCGUGAAGGAAGAAGUAUCUCGGUAUGUAAACUUCUAUCAGCAGGGAAGAUAGUGACGGUACCUGACUAAGAAGCCCCGGCUAACUACGUG